rnacentral:lncRNA from 1 species
UGGCUUUACAAGUUAGCAAUUCUGGUUGCAAAGUUUAUUAUUCUGAAUGCUCAUCAUCAACUUGGGAACCUGCUUCCAAAUACAAGUUUAAUCUGCUUAAAUACUUCAAGCUGUACAAGUCUGCUGUGGAAGUGAGCACCACACAAUGUGGCUUCAGCUUCCGAUGUGAUUUCUAUUUGAACUCCGAUAUUAGAAACCAUGUCUUAGACCUCCCAUGCAGCUCUCAAAGUGCUUUGCAUUGCUGUGGUUACAUGGAAAUGUUAAACAAAUGAGUUAAUGGAAUAAUUUUUAUUUAAUUGUUUUUAAUAAAUAUUCAUGAAAAAUGUAUCUAUACUUGUAAAUUUUAAAUAUGAG